GAUGAAGAACGUAGCGAAAUGCGAUAAGUAAUGUGAAUUGCAGAAUUCAGUGAAUCAUCGAAUCUUUGAACGCACAUUGCGCCCCCUGGUAUUCCGGGGGGCAUGCCUGUCCGAGCGUCAUUACAACCCUCAAGCUCAGCUUGGUGUUGGGCCCCGCCGCCCCGGCGGGCCCUAAAGUCAGUGGCGGUGCCGUCCGGCUCCGAGCGUAGUAAUUCUUCUCGCUCUGGAGGUCCGGUCGUGUGCUCGCCAGCAACCCCCAAUUUUUUUCAGGUUGACCUCGAAUCAGGUAGGAAUACCCGCUGAACUUAAGCAUAUCAAUAAGCGGAGGA
rnacentral:misc_RNA from 1 species